AACGAACGCUGGCGGCGCGUCUUAAGCAUGCAAGUCGAACGGCAAGAGAGGAGCUUGCUUCACUCCUAGAGUGGCGGACUGGUGAGGAACACGUGGGUAAUCUACCCUUAAGAUGGGGAUAGCUGCUAGAAAUAGCAGGUAAUACCGAAUACACUCGGCAUAUCACAAGAGGUGUUGAGGAAAGGAAGCUACGGCUUCGCUUGAGGAUGAGCUUGCGUCCCAUUAGCUAGUUGGUGAGGUAAAGGCCCACCAAGGCGACGAUGGGUAUCCGGCCUGAGAGGGUGAACGGACACAUUGGGACUGAGAUACGGCCCAAACUCCUACGGGAGGCAGCAGCUAAGAAUAUUCCGCAAUGGACGGAAGUCUGACGGAGCGACGCCGCGUGGAUGAAGAAGGCUGAAAAGUUGUAAAAUCCUUUUGUUGAUGAAGAAUAAGGGUGAGAGGGAAUGCUCAUCUGAUGACGGUAAUCGACGAAUAAGCCCCGGCUAAUUACGUG
rnacentral:rRNA from 1 species